AUGAUGGGGUGGAUCCGAGGAGGCUAUGGUGCCCUAAGGAAGGGUCCUCAUGGUUUUACCAAUGGGCUUUACCAUCGCUUUACCAAUGAGGAAACUGAGACCCAAAGAGGGGAAGUGACUUAUUCAAGGGUCACGUCACUAGGAUAAAACAGUGGGGAUUCGAACCCAUAUCUUCUGGCUUCAAAAAAUACUCUUCAGGAUAUUAUACUGUAUAUUUAUACUCUCUAGGAAUCCUACUGAAUAUUAUACUAUCUAGGAAAGCAGGAGGUGGUGAAGUUCUGGUGCUCUUUGUAUCAGCAAGCUUUAUGGGAGCUGGAGGAGUCUUUCUGCCUGAAGGGAGAUGAUACAAGAACUCUGCAGGAUUUUGGACCCUGUUGCCUGAGAAACUCUCAGUGUAAAAAAAAAUACAAGGAUCAACAAGUAAUCAAGAACUUAUAGAGCUGGGAUUUGGAGCCACAACUGUCUUCUUUUCAGGAUACUACAUUGUCUAGGCAAGCAGGAGCUAACAAUGCACUGGAUCUCCAUGAAUCAGAGAGCUAGGAAGAUGCUGAAGGAAUUCACAGACCCCCUGAAAUCUAUCCAUGGACCCUGUGGAUCCCAGGAUGAAUUUUUGUCCUAUGGAGACAGAAGCAUCAGGCAGCUGGGCCAAGGAAGGAGUGGUAGAGAGACUUUGGACCCCCAAACAUGGCAACUUCCCCAGUGACUCUUGGUCUAAAAAAUGGGGUCUGAGAAUGUCUUCUUAUUGGAGACUGGAAUUUGGGGUUGAUAUGGCUGUGCUUUAUGUCUAUGACUAUACUCACAUUUACAUCUCUGCUGUCUCCGACUCUGUCUAUGUCUAUAUCUAUGUCUGUCUACAUACAAAUACAUAUAUUAAGACAGCAUUAUAUCUGUGUCUAUG